UAAAUGACCUCAGUGAACUUGAAGGCCACUAAAGAACACCUUACGAGGCCCGUUGGGCGUUGUAAGCUGGUCACCACCACGGUAUUCUCGAUACUACGUGGUUUUGCAGUGCGAAGUGUUAGCCGCUUCGGGGUCUCGUGGAUUCGGCGACGUGAAUGCAUACUGUGUGGUGCUUAGAACGACGUCGUGGCCGCACUUCGGGAACACUGCUACCGGGAAAGCUUCGUAGACAAACGGGAUUUGGAGAGGCUCAAGACGGAGACGGAGGGCUCUUGGAGUAAAAAAAGAAAAAAGAAUGGUGCCGAUCGGCUCCUCUUGCUGCUGCUGCAAGGCCGACGGUAAUACCCGUCCGCCCGGCCUUGUUGGGAAGGAGAUCGGGCCACUUCAGCCAAUCAGAGAAGAGAACCAGGAAAAAAA